GAUGAACGCUAGCUACAGGCUUAACACAUGCAAGUCGAGGGGUAACGAGAGGAAAGCUUUCUUUCCUUGUCGACGACCGGCGCACGGGUGAGUAACGCGUAUCCAACCUGCCCCCAACUAGCGAAUAACCUUGCGAAAGUAAGACUAAUACCCUAUAAUUUCCUCAGAUGUCAUAUGACGCGGAAUACAGAUUUGUCUGUUGCGGAUGGGGACGCGUCUGAUUAGCUUGUUGGAGGGGUAACGGCCCACCAAGGCAACGAUCAGUAGGGGUUCUGAGAGGAAGGUCCCACACAUUGGAACUGAGACCCGGUCAAAACUCCUACGGGAGGCGGCAGUGAGGAUUAUUGGUCAAUGGGCGGAAGCCUGAACCAGCCAAGUAGCGUGCAGGAUGACGGCCCUAUGGGUUGUAAACUGCUUUUAUACAGGAAUAAAGUUAGCCACGUGUGGUUAUUUGUAGGUACUGUAUGAAUAAGGACCGGCUAAUUCCGUGCCAGCAGCCGCCGUAA
rnacentral:rRNA from 1 species